GGCUGUCACAGUUAGGGAGUCCGAAAACGUCAGCGGGGGCCUCGAGAAGAUUUAUCUUUUUUGUUUAACGGCCUGCCCACCCUGGAAACGGCUCAGCCAUACGUAGGACGGAAAAGCACCACAUGUGGUGUGGUGUCCGGUGUAGCCCCGGCGGCCCUUGAGAAUCUAGAGGA
rnacentral:ncRNA from 1 species